rnacentral:rRNA from 1 species
AGUUUGAUCCUGGCUCAGGAUGAACGCUAGCUACAGGCUUAACACAUGCAAGUCGAGGGGAAACGACAUCGAAAGCUUGCUUUUGAUGGGCGUCGACCGGCGCACGGGUGAGUAACGCGUAUCCAACCUGCCCACCACUUGGGGAUAACCUUGCGAAAGUAAGACUAAUACCCAAUGACGUCUCUAGAAGGCAUCUGAAAGAGAUUAAAGAUUUAUCGGUGAUGGAUGGGGAUGCGUCUGAUUAGCUUGUUGGCGGGGUAACGGCCCACCAAGGCUACGAUCAGUAGGGGUUCUGAGAGGAAGGUCCUCCACAUUGGAACUGAGACACGGUCCAAACUCCUACGGGAGGCAGCAGUGAGGAAUAUUGGUCAAUGGACGAGAGUCUGAACCAGCCAAGUAGCGUGCAGGAUGACGGCCCUAUGGGUUGUAAACUGCUUUUAUAAGGGAAUAAAGUGAGUCUCGUGAGACUUUUUGCAUGUACCUUAUGAAUAAGGACCGGCUAAUUCCGUGCCAGCAGCCGCGGUAAUACGGAAGGUCCGGGCGUUAUCCGGAUUUAUUGGGUUUAAAGGGAGCGUAGGCCGGAGAUUAAGCGUGUUGUGAAAUGUAGAUGCUCAACAUCUGCACUGCAGCGCGAACUGGUUUCCUUGAGUACGCACAAAGUGGGCGGAAUUCGUGGUGUAGCGGUGAAAUGCUUAGAUAUCACGAAGAACUCCGAUUGCGAAGGCAGCUCACUGGAGCGCAACUGACGCUGAAGCUCGAAAGUGCGGGUAUCGAACAGGAUUAGAUACCCUGGUAGUCCGCACGGUAAACGAUGGAUGCCCGCUGUUGGUCUGAAUAGGUCAGUGGCCAAGCGAAAGCAUUAAGCAUCCCACCUGGGGAGUACGCCGGCAACGGUGAAACUCAAAGGAAUU